GGAUGGGCUUUACUCUUUAUUCUCCCUCCAAUAAUAGUCUUUGGAUUAUAAUAAUAACUGCAACUAUUUGGGCCGUAUAAGUUAUUGUAUCUAAAUGAAAAAGCCCAAAUUCACAUGAAAUAAAAACACCUAAUGUAAACACUCUCAUUCUUCUACUGCCGUCAGGUCAAAUCCUCUUAAUUCCACCGACUAUAACUUAAAUGAGAUGUAACGUUUCCGUCUUUAUUGAAAUUUCAUCUUUAAGUUUCACCAUUAAUUCUCUAACUCAAGCUCUCCCACGACGAUUGGUUUUAAUUAUCUCUUUUUUCACUUCCAUUGUAAGUCCCUAAUUUCUUCAACUAUAAAUAAGGAUGUAGAGUACUAGGAAUCUCACUGAUUCAUACAAAACCCUCAACAAUGGCUUGGUGGCUGAUUACAAGGGGAACGCUUACGUCACCAACUCAGGAAAAACUUCAUCUGGAAAGUGGAUCAUGACGCUGUAGCCUCAAUCUUCUCCAGAUCGCUGUGAUCUAACUCGCAGCCGCUGCUGGCUGAAGCUGACGCAACUUUCGCGAUUUCGGUUUGAACGGAAUUGUGUACAGCAGCGAAGGAUAUCUCUUGCUGGUCUUGGUGGUGAGAGCAACACAUGGAAGAUGUUUAAGGUCAACGAAGAAACCGGGACGGCGAGUAUUGUGUUAAUGAAUGGAGAUCUGGCUGCGGCAGAUGUGAUGUUGAGGAGACGGGGAGAGAUACGGUUGUGGUGGUGUCCCAGAAGAAGCUUUGGUUUGUUCCGAGCCAAGAUAAUAUGGAUAUAAAAAAUCAGAACCUUCUUCAAAGACUUUGAAGCUUCUGGGUUUCAGGAAAACGUGUCAACCCGGAUUGUAAACCUUAAGAGGAGGAACAAAGCAUUUCUCUGCCGAGAGUAGCCAAUAUUGUGACCGGCAAAUGAGUGACGUCGUUUCAAUGCUUUACUAGAACAGAGUCUGGCCUAAACAGCUUUAGAGGGGUUUGUUGGUGCGUCGAAGAUGGUUUGGUAACUAUUAGCUAACUUGGUGAACAUUGGUUUGCAAAUCUUUCACGUGGAGGAAGUCAACCGAUCUGAUCCUGUUUACAUGGAAGCAACUGGUGACUGGUUUAAGGGUCUGGUUCGAGCUAUGCUUCAACCAGUUAUAAUAUUGUUGAGGUCUGAUUAAAAUUGGGGAUGACUUUUGUGAGUAAAUAAUUGAAAGAUGACAGCGACUUUUACAAUGAAAUGUAAGAUAUGUGCAUUUUUCUUAUAAAGAUAAUUUACUCUUUUUUUAGCCUAAAA